CGGUUCCGCGUCGCGCUCGUUGCUCGCUGAUUGGAGAGCUCAAGGGAAGUUGUUGGUACGUGGGGAGAAGAAGUUUUGCUGUGUUGCUGUAAGAUUACUACCAGGGGAAGCUAAAUCCCAGCUCUAGAGAGGUUUUCGAACUACCUGGGGCUGAGUUGGUGACCCGAGAGACUAGUUUGGAAGGUGUUACAACUGAGGCGAGAGUGCGAUCGACUCUUGGAGUGACUUUAGCUGACUUGUGAGAACUCUUGAAGACUCAACAUGAGGAUUGGGACCUCGUUGGGCUGAGUAUUGGGACAUCUUGUGACUGAGUUGAGCUUAGUACGAGAGCCAUCUACAGGAGAGGCUAGGGAUCGUGGC